rnacentral:RNase_P_RNA from 1 species
CAUGCAGACCGGGUGACCGCCGUUCUUCCCCUGUGGAAGGAGGGAGGAAAGUCCGGGCUCCUCUGGGCAGGGUGCUGGGUAACUCCCAGGUCCCGAUCUAAAUCGGGAACGGAAAGUGGCACAGAAACAUACCGUCCUUCCAGCAAUGGAAGGGUAAGGGUGAAAUCGGACGGUAAGAGCGUCCGGCCGUUUGCGGUGACGCAACGGCGGCUAAACCCCACCUGGAGCAAGGCCAAAUAGGGGGACUUACGCGCCCGGCCAGUCCCCGGGUUGGCUGCUUGACUGCGGCGGUAACGUCGCUCCGCCAAUGGCGGACUUCCGCUGGCUUCACGGCUGGCGGUUGGGCUAGAUAGAUGGUCACCGUCCUUCCCUUGCGGGGAGGAUACAGAACCCGGCUUACAGGUCUGCAGAACCC